CACCUCUUCCCAUUCCGAACAGAGAAGUUAAGUCCCCCAUGGCCGAUGGUACUUGGGUUUUCCUGGGAGAGUAGGUAGCUGCCUUAU
rnacentral:rRNA from 1 species